CAAUGGCAUGAAUACAGGCAAGUUACCUAAACUCUCUGAGUUUUUGUUUCAUCGUCAGUGAAAUUAUAAUACCUCAUAGGGUCAUUGAGGAGGAUUGAAGAAGAUAAUAUAUUUAUAGUUCUUGGUAUUGUGCCCAAAACAUGUUAGUCAUUAUAAUUAUUAAUAAAUGUGUGAGGAAGAUGCAGCAGAACUAGGCAGUGGAAGAGAUUUCCACUGGAGUUCCUUUGUAGUCUGGGAGCUGAGAGUCACAUAAAAAUCACAAAGCAAGUAUAACUAUGGGGCUGUCAUAUUUUCUUUGGGAGAAGGAUUUAUAAUUAUUGUGUAGGCAACACAUUUCUAAUAAUCCUUGCUCUUGGAAAGAGAAGAAAUAAGAAAUCAAGACAGAAAAAGAUAAAUAGCAUGUGUGCUUAUUUUUUGAGUAAGGAGAAGAGGAGAGAAAAUGUAUUGAAGUUCAUAGGUCCAGGAGAGAGGUUACUUUGUCCAGGGAAAUGUAGCUUCUCUGCAGUGACAAUGUUCUAAGCUGGAGGCUUAGUUGAAAACAGGUGUAUUUCUUUAGGGCGGGGGCUUUUGUCUGCUUUUUUCCCUUCUUUUUAAUCAUGUAGAACAUCUGCCAUGUGGUAGGUAUUGUAGUCAGCAAAUAUUUGUUGAAUAAUGAAUGAUGAAGAGAUGGAGGUGCUUUCACCAAGCUUCAAAAUUCUGGGUUCAGAAUUUCUGCCUGAGGUCCAGGCACAUGCUGUAUUGAGUUCCUUCCAUUUGCUGCCUACAAAGCAGCCUUGUAUUUUUCUUGUCAUCAUUAGAGAAGCUAAUUAGAAAAGCUAAUCAAUGGCUGAUGAACUGAUUGAUGGAGAUAGAUUUCUCAAGCCAGAGUUUGAAAGAAAAGAAUGGAUUCUUUCGGCUUUGUGAGCAGCUAUUUUUAGUCAGCAGGUGUUGCAGCUUUUAAGAAACAUUUGGCAGUGUUUCCUUCUACUUCCAUUUUAUCCAAAAUAUGUAACUUUCAUCCCUUCCAUUACAGAAACAUGCUGCUUUGUGUUUUCUGAGUAGAAAAGAGGAUUAUGGGAAAGAAUAAUCAGGAAAAAUUUAUGAAGUGCUUAGCACGGAAGCUGGCCCCACGGUUAAUGGACAGUCAGUAAGAGAGAAGAUAGAAAUGCCAUCAAAGAGGGUGGCUGGGGAAGGAGAUGGCUGGUAAAACCUGCUCCCUGCCCAGCGUAGAUGGGAUUUCUCUGCAUCACUGUAGAUAAUGUGUUGCUUCCAGCUUCCCCAGUUGGAAUCAGUUCCGGUACCCAGAGCCUUGGCUUAUAAUUUCAGAUGUCAAUACUGUUAGUUAAGGAAGGGCCAAUCGGUUUUCUUUGUGCAUUGCUUAAAAACAAACAAAUCCCCUCCAAAUCAAUUGGUGAAAACACAAUGACUCAAUGCUUUGAAAAAUGUGUCCCUGGGAAAACCAUACGAUACAUGGUUCUGAGAACUUCACCUCCAGAGCAAUUAUUUCCCAGGAUACAUUUCCAGAUUUAUGCCAGAGGUGGAUUAAGUGUAAGCCACAGAUAUUAUUAGCUUGCUCUGUGUUCAUAUGUUCCACUGUGAGGUGCCACACUUAGGUCUUUGACAAAGACAAAGACUGGAAAUGUCUUGCUUCUUGGAGGACAGUUGUGGAAAUCAAUCAAAUACACUAGUGUCUUGUUUCAACUGGCUGUGCAUUGUCUUGGUUAUGGGUCAUGUUCUGACUGCUACUGCAAAGAGUGGGGAAUGGCGAGGCAAGUUGUGAUGACUGUCAGCCAGGGCUCUCCAGAGAAACAGAGACAAUAGGACACACACACACAAAGUAAAUAUUAAUUUAUAUAUAUAUUGAAAGAGUGAAAGAGAGAGGGAGGAGGUUUAUUUUAAGGAUUCAACUCACAUGGUUUUGGGGACAGGCAUGUCCAAAAUCUGCAGGGCAGGUCAGCAGGCUGGAAACUCAGGCAGGAUGUUCAUUACAGUUGUGAGGUAAAAUUCUUUCUCUAUGAAACGUUAGUUUUUGCUUGUAAGGCCUUCACCUGAUUGGAUAAUAGUGAGACCCACUCUCAUUAUUAAGGGUAAUCUGCCUUACUUAAGGUCAGCUUAUUGUCAGAUGUCAGUCACAUCUCUAAAUACCCUCAUAACAACACCUAGACUAGAGUUUGGCUGAAUAACUGGGCACCAUAACCCAGCCAGGAUGACACAUACAAUUAACUGGUGGUGAUGAUGACAUUGACUGUGUUGUUUGUGGCCCUCAGAUAUCCUAGAAUGACCAUGUAUCAGUCAUUGGGCCAAGUGCUUUACAUGCAUUAUCCUGUUUAAUAUUGUUAAGCCUUCAUUUCCAUCUUAAAGAUGAAGAUACCAGGUCAGAGAGGCUGCCGCACUGCACAGAGUCACAGAGAGACCUGAGUGGCUUGCCAGGGCUUGGUUUUAAAGUCCAUGCUAUCAUGUAGCAUUUUAUACAGAAGAUAUUAGUUGAUACCUUUUUGUUUCCUCCCAGUGAUAGAAACCUGACCGAGGGAUGCAGUUUACUGUCUCUUGUUCUCAGGAUGUCUAAGGUGACGGGUUUUAGGCACAACAAGACCCAGGAGCUAAAAGGAUGUUGUCAGGACUCUGCCUUUUGCUCCAUCUCUUGGUUCUACUUAUUUCCUCUUAGCUUUAUUCUGUGAACAGUCUCCCCCUAUGAGGAAGGUAGAAUUCAUAUCCUCUGACUUAGCAAGUACUGUAGAAAGGGGCUUUGUUUGCUCUUCCAUGGUUGUAUAGCCAUUCCAGAAUGGCCUUGCUUGAUUAUGUGCUUAUUCCUAGUGUAACUCCCAGGGCCAGAAUAUACAGCUCUGUGGUUUGUGCUGCCUAGCUUUUGGGUCUAAGUCUGGGUUGGUGGCAUGGAGGUCUGGGAGUCCGGGCAUGGUGACGGAAAGCCACACUAGGACAAGAGAGGUGUGGGAGGACACUGACCCCCACUCAGGCCCCGUACCGCUGGCAGUUCCGUAGACACCUCCUUGGCAAGGAAAGCCCCCUAUGGGUACCUCCUAGGACUGGACUGGGUGGGACAGAUUUGUAUCUUCCCAGGGGCAGAGAUGCCUUGAAGCCAUUGGUAGGAGCCCCCUUUUUUUUGUCCCUUGGCCUGUUUGGGAAGCAAGCCAGCCCAAAACUCUUUAGACUUUAAAUGUGGAAUUAAAAAUUUUUCCCUCUGAUUCAAAGCAAAGGACCUAGGCAAACUUCUUUUCAAGCUUUAAUGCUAAAUUAGCUUCCCAGGAGGUACCCAAACAUCAAAGGCUGUCUUAGGAAAGGAUAUGGUACUGCCUAAUGCUCGUAUCACCUCAUCCUCUCUAACUGCAGAUGGCAAAAACUACUCUGAAAUAUGGUUGUUUGUAUUCCUAUCUUAUCUUCCUACAAUCUUAUCUUCCUUCGACUGUGAGCUAUUAAGGGGGCAGGGCCCAAUCUUAUUUCUUUUAGUAACUCCCUACAGUUCUAGCAUAGAUUUCUGUCACAGUGGGCACUCAGUAAGUGCUUUUGAGCAAGUGAAUGAAUCUGAGUCAUUAUAGAGUAAAAUCAUCCAUUGUGUGUUGCACUCAGAGAGUUCUCCAGGGGAAAUUUUUAAAGGGGCAGAGCCCAGAACAGGGCGAAGGGCACUGGUCUGGGUCAGACUGCCUGGUUUGAGUCCUUUACCCUGAUGUUUUCUAAACAUCCUUACCAUUAUCUAUCCAAUGGAGAUUAUAACAGUAUCUAUCCCACAGAGAUCUCAUGAGGGUAUAGUCUAAGCACCUGGCCCAUGGUUAUUAGUCAGUAAAUAUUGGCUGUUAUAAUUACAGUUAACCCUUGAACAGUGUGGGAUUAGAGUUGUUAAAGCUCCUUGCAGUGGAAAAUCCAUGUAUAACUUGCCAUCAGCCCUCCUUAUACUUGGUUCCUCUGUAUUUGUGGUUUUUGCAUUAUUGGAUUCAACCAACAGUGGAUUGGGUAGCAAUGUGGUAUUUACUGUUGAAAAAACUCUAUGUCUAGUGGACUUGUGGGGUUCAAAUUGUGUUGUUAAAGGGACAACUGUACUGUUGUUUUUACUUUUUUUUUUUUUUUUUUUUUUUUUUUUUUUUUUUUUGGUCUUUUUGCCUUUUCUAGGGCCACCUCGGCAUCUGCAGCUUCAAUUUGAUCCCUUAUCUGGGAACCUCCAUAUGCCACAGGUGUGGCCCUAAAAAAAGCAAAAACAGAAGAAGAUAGUUGGUGACAGUACUGGGAAGACAAAUUUCGAUAAGGGAAUACCUGAUAAUUAUUAACGGUAUUUUUUAAAUAGAAUUAAUAGUCAUAAAGAAAAGCCUCAAUAAUUCAUGUAUAAGUUUAUGUCACUUUAUAGCUGACAUUUUAAAAAAGUCAACUGUUGAGUUGUGAUGGAGCACGAUGGAGGAUAAUGUGAGAAAAGGAAUGUAUAUGUGUAUGUGUGUGUGUGUGUUAGCCUGGGUCACUUUACUGUAUAGUAAAAAUUGAAAGAACACUGUAAACCAACUAUAACAGAAAAAAUAAAAAUCAUUACAAAAAUACAAAAAUAAAAAGCCAAUUAUACUUUUUAAAAAAAUUUGAUUGUACCCGUGGCACAUGGAAGUUCCUGCCAAGGAUCAAACCUGCACCACAGCAGUGACCAGAGCAGCUGCUGUGACAAUGCUGGAUCCUUAACCCACUGCACCAUAAGGGAAUUCCCUUUAAAAGUCACUUGUAAAGUGAAUCCUGGCCUUAAUAAAUGCAAAGUUGCUUUUGGUUUGGAAAAAAACUCAUUUCCUAAUUAUAAAACUUCUAAUUUACUUUUUUGGGGCAAUAUUUGAUUAACAUAUAAAUAUCAAACACAAGAGUAAAAUAAACUUAUAUUUUAUGGUUUUAUCUAAAUUAAAAUGAUUCUUUUCUGAUUUGUCAUAUGAAACAAAUUUCAUGAUAUGAGAUUUUCUUAUGUUUCACUCAACAAUGAGAUACGGAAUUCAGGGUCACAAUGUAGCCCCCUGUAGAUGCCUGUGGUGAAAACUCAGUCACUCUCAAAUAAUUUAUGUGCAGAUUCUGUGAAGAAAACCUACCAAUCUGUCCCACUGGAUGGAUUUUACUCUCCAGCAAAUACCCUUGUUACCUCAGUGAACAAAUCUGAAUACAAUAAGGGGUUUCUUACUUUUUCGGUAUUUUAGUUAAUGUUAGAAUUUCUAACAAUGAGAUAUGGUAAGACAAAAUAGCAAAAUUGGAACCAUAGAAAGGGAUGGAAAUUCAGGAUUAGUUAUAAUAAUUGUAGUGUUUCAGAACAAAGCCAACAGAAUUAGAUUUUAUUUCAUUUGUAUGAAUACUAAUCACUAAUGGGAAAGAGUUACCCCCACAGCUUAAUCAUGUCCAAAUAGAGAGUUUGAAUAGAUAACACAAUUAGCCAAGCCAUUGUGACUCUCACUCAAUCCUCAACAUUCACCACUAACUAUUGACUAGUGAAUGUCCUGUCACUGAGUUGUGGGAACCAACACUUUAUCUGCAUCUACUAAGUGCUGGGUAUUAUGUAUCUCAUUUAAUCUAUACAACAACCUGUACAAAUUAUCAGUUACCGAAUGGCUGGUCAUUAUCAACUCCAUUUCAACAGGAGGAAACUGAGGUUCAGAGGAGUUACAGAAGUUGUUCAAGGUUAUGUGAACAAUACUGUAGUUGAUAUUCAAACCAAGAUCUGUUUUAUUACAAAGCCCUUGUUCCUUUUUCAGCCAGUAAUUUUCAAGUGCUUUAGAUAGUGAUAUUACUCUUUUUUUUUGUCCUUCUUUGCCUUUUUUUUGGGCUGCUCCUGUGGCAUAUGGAGGUUCCCAGGCUAGGGGUCCAAUUGGAGCUGUAGCCGUCGGCCUACACCAGAGCCAUAGCAACUCAGGAUCUGAGCCGUGUCUGUGACCUACACCACAGCUCACGGCAACGCCAGAUCCUUAACCCACUGAGCAAGGCCAGGGAAUUGAACCUGCAACCUCAUGGUUCCUAGUCGGAUUCGUUAACC
rnacentral:lncRNA from 1 species